rnacentral:misc_RNA from 1 species
GAUGAAGAACGUAGCGAAAUGCGAUAAGUAAUGUGAAUUGCAGAAUUCAGUGAAUCAUCGAAUCUUUGAACGCACAUUGCGCCCGCCAGUAUUCUGGCGGGCAUGCCUGUUCGAGCGUCAUUACAACCCUCAGGCCCCCGGGCCUGGCGUUGGGGAUCGGCAGAAGCCCCCUGUGGGCACACGCCGUCCCUCAAAUACAGUGGCGGUCCCGCCGCAGCUUCCAUUGCGUAGUAGCUAACACCUCGCACCUGGAGAGCGGCGCGGCCAUGCCGUAAAACACCCAACUUCUGAAUGUUGACCUCGAAUCAGGUAGGAAUACCCGCUGAACUUAAGCAUAUCAUAAGCGGAGGA